GACGAACGCUGGCGGCGUGCUUAACACAUGCCAGUCGAACGGAAAGGCCUGCUUUCCCUUGUGGAUUGCGGGUACUCGAGUGGCGAACGGGUGAGUAACACGUGAGUGAUCUGCCCCCAACUUGGGUAUAAGCCCGGGAAACUGGGUCUAAUUCCCGAUAGGACUGCAGGGUGGUGCCUGUGGUGGAAAACGAUUUUCUAGUGGUUGGGGAUGAGCUCGCGGCCUAUCAGCUUGUUGGUGGGGUAAUGGCCUACCAAGGCGGCGACGGGUAGCCGGCCUGAGAGGGUGGACGGCCACAUUGGGACUGAGAUACGGCCCAGACUCCUACGGGAGGCAGCAGUGGGGAAUAUUGCACAAUGGGCGGAAGCCUGAUGCAGCGACGCCGCGUGGGGGAUGACGGCCUUCGGGUUGUAAACUCCUUUCGACCGCGAGGAAGCCACCUGGUUGGAAGGGUGGUGACGGUAGUGGUAGAAGAAGCACCGGCUAACUACGUG
rnacentral:rRNA from 1 species